AUGGUCCUGCGUCCUCACCACCUGACCUCCGGAGAAGCUCCUCCGACCCACCUCCCUCCCCGACCUCCGCUGCGCUCCCGCGCUCUUCGCCAUGGUCAUGCCCCCAUCCAUGCCGGUAGUGCAUGCUGGAUUAGGAGGUUGUACACGUACGUCUAUAUUUAUGUUCAAGUCGAGCUUCGUGAAUCAUGUAUGAUCAAGAACCUAUUGCCAUCAAUUCAAUCUCACAUGCAUGUGCUAGAUGCGGGAAGAAAUACUUCUCUUUUAAUUUGUAUAUGGAUGUGCGUAUUUAAUUUGUAUAUGGCUGUGCAUACGUAUGUAUGUACUGGCACAUCUUGCCGGAACCUGAUUGGGAAGUCAGAUUCGCUAAAUCUACGCGCCCGCGUCUUCGUGCCAUGUUAG
rnacentral:rRNA from 1 species